CCCAGGGGCAACCUCCAACAUCACAACAUAACCAAAAUGAAAUUGCAAGUCAAGGACAAAGAGAGGGCAUAAGCACAUUUGGAAUGGGAUUUAAUCAAACUUCUACAAAUGUGACAACAACCAAUCCACCUGGAAUUACACUUAGGUGGAUGCCUGAUGGUUCUAGUCAAGUUAUUCCCUCACAGCA